UACGUAGGGUGCGAGCGUUAAUCGGAAUUACUGGGCGUAAAGCGUGCGCAGGCGGUUUUGUAAGUCUGUCGUGAAAUCCCCCGGGCUUAACCUGGGAAUUGCGAUGGAGACUGCAAGGCUAGAAUCUGGCAGAGGGGGGUAGAAUUCCACGUGUAGCAGUGAAAUGCGUAGAGAUGUGGAGGAACACCGAUGGCGAAGGCAGCCCCCUGGGUCAAGAUUGACGCUCAUGCACGAAAGCGUGGGGAGCAAACGAGG
rnacentral:rRNA from 1 species